CCGGAUCUCAGAUCAAGCAAGA
rnacentral:rRNA from 5 species